CCUACGGGAGGCAGCAGUGGGGAAUAUUGGACAAUGGGGGGAACCCUGAUCCAGCCAUGCCGCGUGUGUGAAGAAGGCCCUCGGGUUGUAAAGCACUUUCAGUGAGGAAGAACGCCUGGUGGUUAAUACCCAUCAGGAAAGACAUCACUCACAGAAGAAGCACCGGCUAACUCCGUGCCAGCAGCCGCGGUAAUACGGAGGGUGCGAGCGUUAAUCGGAAUUACUGGGCGUAAAGCGCGCGUAGGUGGCUUGAUAAGCCGGUUGUGAAAGCCCCGGGCUCAACCUGGGAACGGCAUCCGGAACUGUCAAGCUAGAGUGCAGGAGAGGAAGGUAGAAUUCCCGGUGUAGCGGUGAAAUGCGUAGAGAUCGGGAGGAAUACCAGUGGCGAAGGCGGCCUUCUGGACUGACACUGACACUGAGGUGCGAAAGCGUGGGUAGCAAACAGGAUUAGAUACCCGUUAGUC
rnacentral:rRNA from 1 species